GAUGAACGCUAGCGGCAGGCUUAACACAUGCAAGUCGAGGGGUAGAAGGAGCUUGCUCCUUUGAGACCGGCGCACGGGUGCGUAACGCGUAUGCAAUCUACCUUUUGCAGAGGGAUAGCCCAGAGAAAUUUGGAUUAAUACCUCAUAGUAUGUGAGGAUGGCAUCAUUUUCACAUUAAAGUCACAACGGCAAAAGAUGAGCAUGCGUCCCAUUAGCUAGUUGGUAAGGUAACGGCUUACCAAGGCUACGAUGGGUAGGGGUCCUGAGAGGGAGAUCCCCCCACACUGGUACUGAGACACGGACCAGACUCCUACGGGAGGCAGCAGUGAGGAAUAUUGGACAAUGGGCGCAAGCCUGAUCCAGCCAUGCCGCGUGCAGGAUGACGGUCCUAUGGAUUGUAAACUGCUUUUGACAGGAAGAAACACUACUUCGUGAAGUAGCUUGACGGUACUGUAAGAAUAA
rnacentral:rRNA from 1 species